CUGAACUGCUGUCCCGUUUACACUAUUCAGGCUCGGAAGUUAGAAUGUUUGGAGGAAGGCCUAGGCCUAGUAGGAGCAUGUUCCCCACUGAAUUUCAAAUUAUAAAUGAUUUGGAAAAUGAUGCUGUAGCCCUAUUGAAAGCUGGCAUAGACAAUAACUGAUCUGCAUUAAUAUCACAGUACAGAAAUCAGCAAACCAAAAACGUAUAAUGCAGCACUGAUUUGAAUAAUUCUUUUGGAAUAAGAGAAAUUGGAUAAGAAGGAAAACGUACAUGGAUACUGAGCCGUUACUUCCUUCACCGUAUGCCAUUCAUUUGCUGGAGUUAUGUCAACAGUCCCAGAGUCAUCUAGAAUCUCAUCGAUGGAAUCUAACCAAUACUCAAUCUCAUCAGUGGAAUCUACUUGGAGUCAUCAAUUAAUCAAGGGAUGUGAACUUCAUCUAUCAAUCUUCAGAUGUUCAACCAAUGGAACCAUCAUUUUCUGAUGUGCUUCAACCACGAACUGAUCACAUCUGCCCGAUGAUAUUCUUAAAAUUUAGCGUUAUUGGCCUAUUAUAUGAACUCUGUUUUAAAUCAUAUACUGAAUUGAUAAUAACUGACACAUGAACAACCAGCUACAAGCAAAGGAAUUUUAAUUUCAUGAACACUUAUACUGUAACCGUAACUCUAUAAUGAAAUUGCUUAUAAUAAUAUCAGUGCAGAAUGUUAUUACAGUAUUUUUCACGCGAAAAUUAAACCCUGUAUUAAAAAGUAUGGCAACGCCCCUUGUGUUGCUUUUAGGAACUGAAGUAAAAUUCAAGGCCCCAUUCGUUCCUGAUAAAGUG